rnacentral:rRNA from 1 species
CCUGAGAAACCCAAAAGAUCGAAUGGGGAGAUUCAUCGUCAGCUCAGUUUGUAUAUAUAUGAGUUAUGAUACGGGUUACUAUUUCGGUAGUAUUGCCUGUACAUUCUUAUAUAUUURRUUGCAAAUUGUUGUCGACGUGCACUUCUCCCCUAGUAGGACAUCGCGACCCGUUGAUAUACAAUAAAAUUUGUCUACGGCCUAAGAUGGAAGCUUUUAAUGGUUUUUUUUAUAGAAAUUCAUUAAAAACUCUUAGUGUUUCCUGACAAAUGAUCGACGGUAUUAUUUAAAUGGUAUCGAGCCGCAAAUAUAUGCGUUCCUAUCUAUUACAAGUGCGGUUAGUUAUUAAUAGUGCGGACAUAGUGCCGUCGUUGAUACUAAUCACCUGUUGGUUAAUAGAAUUUUAGGACUGGCUCAUAAAUACUAGUCAGCGAUGCUAUUGCUUUGGGUACUUUCAGGACCCGUCUUGAAACACGGACCAAGGAGUCUAACAUGUACGCAAGUCAUUGGGAUUUAUAUUAAAUUAAACCUAAAGGCGUAAUGAAAGUAAAGAUUAUCCUUGUGAUAAUUUAGAGAGGAUGAGCUAUGUUUACGAGAUAGCUUCGCACUCUCAGGGCGUCUUAUUCUCAUUAUGAGAAGAGGCGCACCUAG